AUGAGUUCUGAGGUAUAUCAAGAGACCAGUGAAGAUGUUAAAUAUUAUUUUUUACCGUGCGACCUCCCACCAGCCCCGUUGUACCCUGAUGCCCACAAGGAAACGAUUAUUCCACAGGUCCCGUUACAAACUUUGUUGGAAAAAUUUAAUGGCAUUCGAGAACACCAGUGCAAGACAUAUAAAGAUAAUUUUGUUAAACGAUACCAGUUAUUAACACUACCUCCAUAUAUUAUUAUACAUGUGAAGAGAAUUACCACAAAUUUUUUUAGAACAGAAAAGAAUCCCACGAUUGUUAAUUUCCCUACAGA